GAACGCUAGCGACAGGCUUAACACAUGCAAGUCGAGGGGCAGCACAGGGUAGCAAUACGUUGGGUGGCGACCGGCGCACGGGUGAGUAACGCGUAUGCAACUUACCUAUCAGGAGGGGGAUAGCCCGGCGAAAGUCGGAUUAAUACCCCAUGAAACAGGGGUCCCGCAUGGGAAUAUUUGUUAAAGAUUCAUCGCUGAUAGAUGGGCAUGCGUUGUAUUAGCUAGUUGGUGGGGUAACGGCUCACCAAGGCGACGAUACAUAGGGGGACUGAGAGGUUAACCCCCCACACUGGUACUGAGACACGGACCAGACUCCUACGGGAGGCAGCAGUGAGGAAUAUUGGUCAAUGGACGCAAGUCUGAACCAGCCAUGCCGCGUGCAGGAUGACGGCUCUAUGAGUUGUAAACUGCUUUUGUACUAGGGUAAACUCACCUACGUGUAGGUGACUGAAAGUAUAGUACGAAUAAGGAUCGGCUAACUCCGUG
rnacentral:rRNA from 1 species